AGUGAACGCUGGCGGUAGGCCUAACACAUGCAAGUCGAACGGCAGCACAGUAAGGGCUUGCUCUUACGGGUGGCGAGUGGCGGACGGGUGAGGAAUACAUCGGAAUCUACUUUUUCGUGGGGGAUAACGUGGGGAAACUUACGCUAAUACCGCAUACGACCUACGGGUGAAAGCAGGGGAUCUUCGGACCUUGCGCGAUUGAAUGAGCCGAUGUCGGAUUAGCUAGUUGGCGGGGUAAAGGCCCACCAAGGCGACGAUCCGUAGCUGGUCUGAGAGGAUGAUCAGCCACACUGGAACUGGGACACGGUCCAGACUCCUACGGGAGGCAGCAGUGGGGAAUAUUGGACAAUGGGCGCAAGCCUGAUCCAGCCAUACCGCGUGGGUGAAGAAGGCCUUCGGGUUGUAAAGCCCUUUUGUUGGGAAAGAAAAGCAGCAGGUUAAUACCCCGCUGUUCUGACGGUACCCAAAGAAUAAGCACCGGCUAACUUCGUG
rnacentral:rRNA from 1 species